CAGUGAAACUAAUCUCCCCGUGAAGAAGCGGGAAUACUACCAUAAGACGAGAAGACCCCAUGGAGCUUUAAACCCAACUACACCCCUACUUUUUACACCCACUCAACUAACAGGGCCCUGUACGCUUGGUUUUAGGUUGGGGUGACCGCGGAGUAAAAUUAAACCUCCACGAUGAACGGGAAUACCCUCUUAUCCAAGAGCCACACCUCUAAGAAUUAGCACACUAACAUAAAAUGAUCCGAUACUCGAUCAACGAACCAAGUUACCCUGGGGAUAACAGCGCAAUCCAUUUCAAGAGCCCCUAUCGACAAAUGGGUUUACGACCUCGAUGUUGGAUCAGGAUAUCCCAGUGGUGCAGCAGCUACUAAAGGUUCGUUUGUUCAACGAUUAAAAUCCU
rnacentral:rRNA from 1 species